rnacentral:antisense_RNA from 1 species
GCAAGGCGUGGGGCGCUAUGGGACUGCGCAGUGACGACCCAGUGAAGUAGAUGCCUUGACGAUUCCCAUUUCACGGAUGAGACGACUCCGGCACAGAGAAGUCAGAGGGCCUGUCCUGGGUCACACAGCCACAGGCGGCCCCCAGAACGGGACUUCAGGGUGCACCACUGCACCCCAGCAGAGGCCUCCGCCUGGCACACAGGGAAUGCUGGAGCAAUACUUGAAUAAGAACAUACAGUGGCAUAAGAGAGACCAACUUGGUGAUAACUGAUCAUAGGAUUAGACCAAGGUGCAGAAGCAAACAGAACCUCCGUAAAAUGUAACGAUGUCUCGUGCCUGCAAUCCUAGUGCUUUCAGAGGCCAAGGUGGGAAGAUGCCUUGAGCUCAGGAGUUCGAGACCAGCCUGAACAACACAACAAGACCUCGUAUCUAUGAAAAAAUAAAAAUAAUAAAAUUAGCUGCACACCUAUUUGGUGGCACACACCUGUGGUCCCAGGUACUCGGGAGGCUGAGAUGAGAUCAUUUGAGCCCAGGAGAUCAAGGCUGCAAUCAGCUGUGAUCAUGCCACUGCCCUCCAGCCUGGACAACUGAGCGAGACCCUGUCUCCAAAAAAAGUAAAAUUAAAAAAAAAAA